CUGGCAAUGAUGAGUGGCGCAGGGGUACAGACCUCAGCUGGAUAAUGGGAGCUGUGUGUGGGUGGUCUUUCUUCAGCCUGCAUGUAGUGGGCUUUAAGAAGCACCUGCAUGGAAAAACAUCGCCUAUGUCUGAGCCGU